rnacentral:rRNA from 1 species
GGAACGGGACGUCAUAGAGGGUGAGAAUCCCGUAUGUGAUGGGUUGCUCGAGCCAUGUGAAGCUCCUUCGACGAGUCGAGUUGUUUGGGAAUGCAGCUCUAAAUGGGAGGUAAAUUUCUUCUAAAGCUAAAUACCGGCCAGAGACCGAUAGCGCACAAGUAGAGUGAUCGAAAGAUGAAAAGCACUUUGGAAAGAGAGUUAAAAAGUACGUGAAAUUGUUGAAAGGGAAGCGCUUGCAACCAGACUUGUCCGCAGUUGUUCAGCCGGUCUCCUGACCGGCGUACUCUUCUGCGGCCAGGCCAGCAUCAGUUCGGGCGGUUGGAUAAAGGCCUCGGGAAUGUGGCUCUCUUCGGGGAGUGUUAUAGCCCGGGGCGGAAUGCAGCCAGCCUGGACUGAGGAUCUCGCUUCGGCAAGGAUGCUGGCGUAAUGGUUGUAAGCGGCCCGUCUUGAAACACGGACCAAGGAGUCUAACAUCUAUGCGAGUGUUUGGGUGUCAAACCCAUACGCGUAAUGAAAGUGAACGGAGGUGGGAACCCGCAAGGGCGCACCAUCGACCGAUCCUGAUGUCUUCGGAUGGAUUUGAGUAAGAGCAUAGCUGUUGGGACCCGAAAGAUGGUGAACUAUGCCUGAAUAGGGUGAAGCCAGAGGAAACUCUGGUGGAGGCUCGCAGCGGUUCUGACGUGCAAAUCGA